CGUACACUCCUACGGGAGGCAGCAGUGGGGAAUAUUGCACAAUGGGCGCAAGCCUGAUGCAGCCAUGCCGCGUGUAUGAAGAAGGCCUUCGGGUUGUAAAGUACUUUCAGCGGGGAGGAAGGCGAUAAGGUUAAUAACCUUGUCGAUUGACGUUACCCGCAGAAGAAGCACCGGCUAACUCCGUGCCAGCAGCCGCGGUAAUACGGAGGGUGCAAGCGUUAAUCGGAAUUACUGGGCGUAAAGCGCACGCAGGCGGUCUGUCAAGUCGGAUGUGAAAUCCCCGGGCUCAACCUGGGAACUGCAUUCGAAACGGGCAGGCUAGAGUCUUGUAGAGGGGGGUAGAAUUCCAGGUGUAGCGGUGAAAUGCGUAGAGAUCUGGAGGAAUACCGGUGGCGAAGGCGGCCCCCUGGACAAAGACUGACGCUCAGGUGCGAAAGCGUGGGGAGCAAACAGGAUUAGAUACCCGGGUAGUCCC
rnacentral:rRNA from 1 species